rnacentral:rRNA from 1 species
UACGUAGGUGGCAAGCGUUGUUCGGAAUUACUGGGCGUAAAGCGCGCGUAGGCGGCUCUUCAAGUCAGGCGUGAAAGCCCCGAGCUUAACUCGGGAACUGCGCUUGAUACUGUCGAGCUAGAGUGUGGAAGGGGCGAUUGGAAUUCCGUGUGUAGCGGUGAAAUGCGUAGAUAUACGGAGGAACACCAGGGGCGAAGGCGGAUCGCUGGGCCAACACUGACGCUGAUGCGCGAAAGCUAGGGGAGCAAACGGG